GCAGCCGCCGCGGGAAUACAGAGGGUGCGAGCGUUAAUCGGAUUUACUGGGCGUAAAGCGUGCGUAGGCGGCUAAUUGAGUCGGAUGUGAAAUCCCCGAGCUUAACUUGGGAAUUGCAUUCGAUACUGGUUAGCUAGAGUGUGGGAGAGGAUGGUAGAAUUCCAGGUGUAGCGGUGAAAUGCGUAGAGAUCUGGAGGAAUACCGAUGGCGAAGGCAGCCAUCUGGCCUAACACUGACGCUGAGGUACGAAAGCAUGGGGAGCAAACAGGAUUAGAUACCCGGGUAGUCCCUGUCUCUUAUAC
rnacentral:rRNA from 1 species